rnacentral:lncRNA from 1 species
GAGAAAGAAAAGAAAAAAAGGUAAAAGGAACACGACUUGUCAGCUGUUUUUUUACUAACUGUUGUCUGGUUUAGAAAGAAAUCCAAAAUGGAAGGUUGCAGCUCUUCUAGAGGCUAGGCAAAAGGAGGUAAUAUCUAAUACAAAUGUCCUACGAAUGCUUGUCUGUUCGUGUUUGUUUCACUUAUUCAUUUUCUGCAAUGGGAAUGCCAUCUCAUAUAUAACAUUAGAUACUUUUGUGGUGUGUACUGCCGAAAAUGGUCCAGAUGAGACGAACUCGGUCUUGACAGAGAAAUCACACAGUUGGUUUCCCUGGUAUAAUUUUUGAACCCCUCACUCUAGUUUACGGUUGUGACUCAAUGUUUUAGCCUGCAGCCAACUUUAAUCAACAUCGACAGGAGCAAGCUCGAAAAGAGAAAGAAGAGUUGGAAAAGUUGCUCAAAGAGAACCCGUUAUAAGGAACUAGAGGAGCUUCAAAGAUGAAAGGAAGAGGCCAUGUAAAGGAAGAAGCAACAGGGGGCCGGAAAACAUUCAAAUCAGACAAAAUCAUCUGUAAAGAACAAACUCCGACCGGAGUUGUCCUUUGCCCUCGGUUCUAAAUGAUUGAUUUUAUAACCAGGUUUAUUUGUUCUAAUAUUUUGUACUGUAGCUGAACUUCCAUUAGUAAUUAAGAGCAUAUAUAUGAUUGUGAACGUAGUUUUAAAGUUGAAAACCUAUUCUGCUUGCUUUACCUUUAACCGGUCUCCGGUUUUGAUCAUGCAAUCGAUAACUCCUAUGGUCAUCUAAGCUUUGCUCUCAUGGCCUCAUGGGUCUAUGAUAAACUCUAUUGCUUCCUUAGGGACGAAUUGACCGUUAGAAUGAAUUGAGACCUUUAUCUCGAUUAAUUCAUACAAUCACUUUGAAAAUAUAGUACAAAUUUUUUGAAAUUCACCAUCAUAACCCUUCCUUUUUUUCUAAGUUACAAUUUAAGUUCCGUUUGUUUCACUGAAAAUGGCUUCUGGAAAAUUAUUUAUGAAAAAUGAUUUACUUUUCUAGAAAAACUAAUAGUUUAUGAUGUUUGGAUGGAUCUGUGUAAAGUGUUUUUCAUUGUUUAGAAGAUUUCCUGA